GCUCAGAAACUCACAGGAAUUGACGGGGCCCGCACAAGCGGAGGAGCAUGUGGUUUAAUUCGAUGAUACGCGAGGAACCUUACCUGGGCUCGAACGUAAGAUGACUGUAGGUGAAAGCUUACAUCUCUUCGGAGCAUUUUACGAGGUGCUGCAUGGUUGUCGUCAGCUCGUGCCGUGAGGUGUCGGGUUAAGUCCCAUAACGAGCGCAACCCCUACCUUUAGUUGCCAUCAGGUUAAGCUGGGGACUCUAAAGGAACUGCCUACGCAAGUAGUGAGGAAGGCGGGGAUGACGUCAAAUCAGCACGGCCCUUACGUCCAGGGCUACACACGUGCUACAAUGGCCGAUACAGAGGGCAGCUACCUGGUGACAGGAUGCAAAUCUCCAAAGUCGGUCUCAGUUCGGAUCGGAGUCUGCAACCCGACUCCGUGAAGUUGGAUUCGCUAGUAAUCGCGCAUCAGCCAUGGCGCGGUGAAUACGUUCCCGGGCCUU
rnacentral:rRNA from 1 species